rnacentral:misc_RNA from 1 species
GAGAAGAACGCAGCGAAAUGCGAUAAGUAAUGUGAAUUGCAGAAUUCAGUGAAUCAUCGAAUCUUUGAACGCACAUUGCGCCCCCUGGUAUUCCGGGGGGCAUGCCUGUCCGAGCGUCAUUACAACCCUCAAGCUCAGCUUGGUAUUGGGCCCCGCCGACCCGGCGGGCCCUAAAGUCAGUGGCGGUGCCGUCCGGCUCCGAGCGUAGUAAUUCUUCUCGCUCUGGAGGUCCGGUCGUGUGCUCGCCAGCAACCCCCAAUUUUUUUCAGGUUGACCUCGGAUCAGGUAGGGAUACCCGCUGAACUUAAGCAUAUCAAUAAGCGGAGGA